rnacentral:tRNA from 1 species
GGUGGCUCAGUGGUAGAGCGCUUGCCAUGCAUGAGGCCCUGGGUUCGAUUCCCCAGCACCA